CCAUGGAAAGAGCAUCGCUGGGCGGCGUUUUGUUGUUCAGAAUAGGAACAAGCAAAAUGAAGGAGAGAUGAAGAACGAAGAGCAACAGAAUUCUCUUUUUCUUUUUUAAUGUAUUUUUUGUAUAUUUAUUUGUUGAGGAACUACUGUAAAUUGUCUAAUAUUAAAGUUAUCAUAUA